rnacentral:sRNA from 1 species
AUGGAGAAGGUGGAGUGCCUAGGGGCUGCUGGCGGCCUCAACCGGGAUUUCCCCUAGAGGGGCAGCCAGAGGAGUGCCCGCAGCGGUCACAGGAGUCGAGGCAGGCGCUGGGCAGCCCUCCAGAUUAGUCUUGUUUCACGGUUCUGGGCCUCACGUGCACUCAGGGGGCUCCGUAACUCGCAGUACUGGUUCAAGCUGUCCCUCCGGGGGGAUAGUGGUCCUUGGUUCCGGGCCCAGUCAGCACCCAAGGGAGGCUGCGAACCACAGCCUUGGGUCUGGCACGAACCCUGGUGGAUUCAACAUCCUCGGGUCUCGAACCAGUGUAUCCAGGGCUUCCAGCCCCGGGCCUGGGGGACCUGCAGGGCAAGAGGUAAACAGCCCCGGGUGCAGUCCGCACUCAGGGCCAACUUGCUUGAACCCCCAAAACUCCCAACAGGACCGGCCCCGGAGCAUCCUACGAAAGAACAGCUCCAACUUGAUGCAGAAAUCCCCCAAUGUGGAGAAGAAGUCUCAGCACUGGGACAAGAUGAAUAUCCUGGCCACCUGCUGACAAGAACUAUGGAUUUAUGAUGGUGGAUGAGCCCAACACUCCCUACCACAGGCUGCAGGACAGUUUUGAGGACCUCUCUGCUGGCUCCUCCUGCUCAGUGAAUCCCGGAGUGCUGGCAGAGAGGAUUGCCAUGAUGGACAGUAUCUGCCCCAGGUUCCGCCAGGACUGUGCUGACAGGAGCUCAGGGCCUGCAGACAACUUUUCCAAGAUACACUUCACCGACUUUGACAAGCGCCGCAAGUCACACUAUGAUAAAGGGAAGUUUCUCAAGGCUCAGAAAAACCGGCCCUUGGAGGAUGAAGAGGAUGAGGAUGACAAUGGUGGUAUUGUCAGUAUCAGUGGUGGCAGUCAAGGCAUGACGCUGGACCCAGAGCCCAGGCCUGUGCAGAGAGGCUGGGCAGGAGAACUAGCCAGAGGAGCCAAAGAUGAGCCAGGCCUGGUCACCCAGAGGCACAUCCUUGAAGCCCAGGAUUCCUCCACCUACAGAAAUCAGUCCCCCCAGCUGUGGCCACUAUCAUAUUGGGGCAGGAGGUUGCUCUGCAGCACAAGGAAUAUGGUGGCAAAGGACUACACCUGAGGUCCUGCUCUCAUCCAGAGCUUGUAGAGGAUAUGGAAGAUGAGCAUCAAGAUGUGAGUCUCAAGUGGUGUCCAGCUGGUGGCUGGGGGGCUGAGCUGGCAAAGCCCAAGGAGUUCAGAGAGGGAGAGUGGAAUCAACGCCAACUCCUCAAGCCAGAAC